GCAUCAUUGUUGGCCUGGUACUGGUCCUGGUCGCUGGAGCCAUGAUGGCUGGAGUUGUGAUCUGGAGGAAGAAGCGCCCAGGUAGGGAAGGGAGCAGGGAUCUGAGUCUCCUUGUGUCACGGGGGUUUCAAGCCCAGGUGGAAAUUUGUUGUGCCUUGUUCCUGGGACGUCCCCUCCACACACAUGUGCUGAGUCUGGGGCUGAGUGCCAACACGUACCCUUUUGUGAAGCACAUGUGGAAAUGAAAGACAACGGUUUCCCCAGGAUAAUUCCAGUUGGCGUCUAGUUUCUCAGCAUUUGAAGGUCAGAGGGGAAGGACCCCACUGAAGAGAGGCCUCCAGGAGGGCAGUUGAUCCAAACUCCCCAACAUUUCCUUCCUGCUUAUUCCUCAUCCUUUCUGGAUUUUUUGUCAAAGUUCUGGAACCUUCUUUUCAAUCCAGAAUUAGGGUUUCCACUGGCAUCUCAUGACUCACACUACUCCCCCGGCCUCUCACAUGAUGUCUCUUCCCACAGUGAAAGAGGAGGGAGCUACACUCAGGCUGCAGGCAGUGACAGUGCUCAGGGCUCUGAUGUGUUUCUUCCAAUGGAUCCUAGAGGUCUCAGCCUCCACAGCCCCUGCCGUCGGACAGGAGGAGGAGGAGAGACCAGCAGCAGAGACUCCCAUCCUGCCUGAAAUAUCCGGGGAACCGUGGGUCCUGGAGCCCACAGUGGUGACCCUGUAA
rnacentral:lncRNA from 1 species